CCUCCCUGACGUCCUUCGUUGGGAGCGGCGCUUCCGGGACUGCGGUGACGCAGCGCCAUCCUCGGACCAAAGGGAGCUGAUCGGCACCAGUUUGCCGGUCGGACCCCACAUGAGAUCCCUGCGCUCCAAGGGGGAAUGGCGGAGUGUCUCGGCUUCCAUGGCGCGCAGGACCUCCCACGUUACCUCGUCAAAAUUGUCCCAUUUUUUUGCGGGAGAGCUCUCGUGCUGGCGACAUCUGUCAAGACUCGGUCUUUGACGUGGUUUGCUCUCCCGUGGUGCAAAAGAAAUGGAACGGACGUGGCGUGCAGGUGGUGACCCAUCAGCCUUACUGUCCUGUUACCCUGUACAAUGUGUGCCUGCUCUCCAACGGUGAAGCAUGGCGGUGGCAGCAUCAUGGCUGCGGGGGUGUUUUUCAGCGGCCAAAACCGGGAGGGAAAUAUGAAUGCAGCAACGUGCAGAGACAUCCUGGAUGAAAACUAACGCUUCUAUCCGACCUGAUGGAGCUUGAGAGGUGUUAAAAGUUAAAGUUAAAGUACACACACACUAAGUGUGGUGAAAAUUACUCUCUGCAUUUGACCC